UGGGUUCUCCAUUGCCCCAGUGCUUCACCUUCAUCUGCUGCUCUCUCCUUCACUAUCUCCUAUGUGAAGGUGAUUUAGGAGAAUGGUGACUGAAGUAAGAGUUCUGCCUUAUACAGACCUGCUUUGCGUUCUCAGAGAAGGGGAGCAGGAAGAGGAGUGGGUUUGAGCUAUAUCUGCACAUCUGCAACAGUGAAGAUUCACAAUUGCAGCUGAGCAACAUGCCUGAUUGUCCAGUUUCCCCUUGUAUUUUCCUUUAAUAUUAAAGUAAUAACUGUAUAUUACAUUGAUGUAAGAUAUCCCCUCUCAGGACUGGACUUUGUUCAUGUGCAAACCAAAGAGUGAUUGACAAACCAGGGACAAGGCUGCAGUGAAUGUCAGUCUGACCUCUACAUCCCAAUGCAGCUUGAAGAAGGAAACAAGCAACUUGCCUCUCAUUUUUUACCAUCUAAGAUUUCUAUUCAUAUUAUCCUUCUGCAAUACCCUUCUAAAAGUAUGCUAACAUCGAGCUUUACAAAUUUCUGCAGAAUCUCCUGGGAGCAACAAGAGCCUCUGAAGAAGCAAUAUUUGGAUGGGAAACUUAUGUCCUCCAAGCUGGCGAGUUGCAACACUGACACAGAUUUUUCUUGUCACUGCAAAACUCUCCCUGUUAAAGGCACUGAAAACUCGGGAUCUGGAGCAUGGAAAGCACAAAUCCAGGGCAGCCAGAGGGGCUCCCAAGGGUUCCCCUGGGCAUCCCUUUGUAUGUCUUUGAGAAAACCUUUCCCUUGGCAAAGAAGAGGCUCCCAAAAGCAUGAGGAGGGGAGAGAUUCUUCUGGAACAUCACUGGGUCUAAUUUCAAGGAUUCAGAUUUUGCCUUUGCUUUUGCCACCACAAGUGAGAGCUGGAUCCCAACAAGUCUUAACUCCACAGAGCCAGCACUCAUUUUUGUAUGCUUGA
rnacentral:lncRNA from 1 species